AUAUAUUAUUAUUGGUUAAUUAUAAUAAUCUCAGCAUGCACCACAUUACAGUACUUACACUGAACUGCUACCCCUUCCAUAACCUGUGUUUGUGAGUGAAUUCUGAGUUUGGAGUGCAAACAGAAACAGCUUCCUUUUCCUUCCCUUUCUUACUUUCUUGCUCUUGUGAACAUGGCUGCUGAACUUGUUGGAGGAGCUUUUCUCUCUUCUUUUCUCAAUGUUCUUUUUGACCGGCUGUCUGAUCCUGAGAUCGUCAACAUGAUGAGAGGAAAGAAGGUUGACCAGAAGCUGCUUCAAAGGUUGAAGACCAUUCUAAAUGUGGUUGAAGCUGUGCUGAAUGAUGCUGAGAAGAAGCAGAUCACUGACUCUGCUGUCAAGAGGUGGCUCGAAGAUCUCCAAAAUGCUGUGUAUGAUGCUGAUGACUUGUUGGAUGAAGUCGCUACCAAAGCUGCUACUCAGAAGGAUCCACCAGGUAACUUCUUGUCUCGCUUUCUCAAUUCGCAAGAUAGGGAGAUGGUUAGUAGGAUUGAAGAAAUCAUUGCUAGACUAGAGGAUAUUGCAAAACACAAAGAUAUCCUUCGUCUGAAAAAGAUUGCAGCCAAGAACAUGUCUGGGAGGAUUCCUUCAACCUCCUUGGUUAAAAAAUCUGAUAUAUUUGUUGGAAGGGACAGAGAGCGAGAUACCAUAGUGAAAUUGUUGUUAGAUGAUGUUAACAAUGGUGAACUGUCUGUCAUUCCCAUCGUUGGCAUGGGUGGGAUAGGAAAAACUACUUUGGCUAAAUUGGUUUACAAUGAUGACAUGGUGCAGCAAACAUUUAAUGUGAAGGCAUGGGUUUGUGUUGGUGAGGAGGAAUUUGAUGUUCUUAAGGUGACAAAGGCUCUGAUAGAGAAAACUUGCAGUCCUUGUUACUCAAAUGAUUUAGAUACAGCUCAAAAUCAUUUGAAGAAUGGGCUAGCAGGGAAGAACUUCUUGGUUGUUCUGGACGAUGUAUGGAGCAGUAAUCGUGAGCAUUGGGAAAGUUUUCUAAAUCCUUUUGAAUGUGGAAGUGAGGUAGGCAAAAUUCUUGUAACAACACGUCUUGAUACAGUUGCUUCUGUGGUGAAAACUAAACAUACUGAAGCUCACAAUUUGAGUUUAUUGGAUGAAGAACAAUGCUGGUCAGUGUUUGCAAAUCGUGCAUGGGAUCCUGCCGAAUCCCAAGAUCGUUCAACUUUAGAAGAAAUUGGUAGAAAAAUUGUUAAAAAAUGUAAAGGAUUACCUUUGGCAGCUCAAACACUUGGAGGGUUAUUGAGAGGGAAAGAUAAUGAAAAGGAUUGGAAUGAUGUUUUGAAUAGUGAAUUCUGGGAACUCUCUGAGGAGGAUAGCGUGAUUCUUCCUGCAUUGAGGAUCAGUUAUUUCCACCUUCCUUCGUAUUUAAAACGUUGCUUUGUUUAUUGUUGUUUGUAUCCGAAGGACUUUGAAUUUGAUAGAGAUGAACUGACAUUGUUGUGGAUGGCAGAAGGUUUUUUGCUACAACCAAAGAGUGGAAACACUUUGGAAGAAAUUGGUUGUGAAUAUUUUGAUGAUUUGGUUUCGAGAUCAUUUUUUCAACAUUCCAACUCUGAUGAUAAUACAUUUGUGAUGCACGACCUCAUGCAUGAUUUAGCAACAUUUUACGGUGGAAAGUUCUUUUCUAGAAUCUUUGAGCUCAAGAACACAGAAAAGCAUGAUACCAAAACUCACCACUUGUCAUAUUCUCGCAACAUUGAUGAUGAUUCGCUUAUGAAGAUCACAGAAGCAUGUGAAAGGUUAAAACAUGUGAGGACAUUGUUGAAAAUCGAUUUGAAUGAAUAUGGUGGAUUCUCAAAGGGAGUAACUGUUCCUUGUGACUUACUAGAACAAUUAAAGUGUUUACGAGUUUUGUCAUUUAAUGUGUUUUCAGAUGAUGGAACCUUGAUGCAGGGUUCAAUUGGUGAAUUGAUCCAUUUGCGUUAUUUGGAUCUUUCAUACACAUCCAUCAUGACUUUGCCUGAGUCUUUGAGUCGCUUGUACAAUUUACAAACCUUGAAGUUGAGAUACUGUAAAAGACUUAAAAAGCUUCCGUCCAAGAUGCAAGAUCUGGUAAAUUUGCGUCAUCUUGAUAUUGAAGGCACUGAAAUGGAAGAGAUGCCAAAAAAGAUGAACAAAUUAAAAGAUUUGCAAUUUUUAAGUGACUAUAUUGCGGGAAAACAUGAAGAGAAUGGGAUUGGAGAAUUGGGAGAGCUACCACAUCUUCAUGGGUCAUUGCGGAUUGAGAAACUAGAGAAUGUUAAGAAUAGUGAUGAAGCAUCGAAUGCAAAGAUGGAUGAAAAAAUACAACUGAAUGCUUUAUAUUUGUGGUGGUCAUCAUUUGAAGAAAGUGAGGUUUGUGAUUCCCAAAGUGAAAUAGAUAUACUUGAGAAAUUACGUCCUCACAAAGACUUGAAGGAGCUAUCCAUCAGGCGUUACAGAGGUACGAUGUUUCCGGAUUGGGUAGGGCAGUCUUCGUACCACAACAUGACUGAGUUGUAUCUGAGGGCAUGCAGGAAUUGUUGGGUGCUUCCAUCACUUGGACAGUUACCCUCUCUGGAGAAGCUAGUCAUUACAGAGCUCGACAAGCUGAAGAUGAUUGGUCGUUCAUUCUAUAAGGGUGAUGGAACUCAUCAGCAUCAGGAGACACCCUUCCGAUCCCUUAAAUCUCUUUCAUUUUAUGAUAUGUGUUGCUGGGAGGACUGGGAGUCAUAUGAAUGUGAUGAUGAUGAUGAUGCACCAUUUCCAAAACUUGAGUGGCUUAAUAUAGUGAACUGCCCUAAGUUAAGAGGAGAUUUGCCCACUUUCCUUCCGUCUUUGAAAGGACUCUACAUUAGAGGAUGCGAGGAGCUUGGUUGUUAUCUGCCAAGAGCUCCCAUCCUACGCCAAUUAACAAUACAUGGCAAACAGGAAGCAAGAAUCCGGGAGCUACCACUUUCCAUGUUGGAGACACUAUGGGUUAAUGGAGAGCAGCAGGUGGAGUAUGUGAUUGAGGCCAUGAUCCACACUCAACUAACCUCUCUCAUAGACCUACAGAUCUCAGAGUGCUCAUCAGCCAUAUCAUUUCCAGGGGAUUCUUUGCCCCCUUCAUUGAAAGAGUUGCGCAUAUACAAUUGCAAGAAUGUAGAAUUCCCAAUGCAACACCAACAACAUCACUCGCUAGAGACAUUAGAAAUACACAACAGCUGUGAUUCGCUUACAUCCUUCGCAUUCCCAUCGUUCCCAAAUCUCAACUAUCUCAAAAUUUCAGAUUGCCCUAAGCUGGAGAAGAUAAUAAGGGUGCCUGCCUCUUUAAGGGAACUCUACAUCAACAAAUGUCCGUUGUUGAGUGAAGGCAUAGAGAGGAAGGACCCCCACAUUUGGCCAUCCAUUUCCCACAUCCCCUACAUUCGACUUGGUGGGAAACUGAUUCUCAAUGACUCAACAUCUUAAAACAGGUUAUUCAUCAACCCACAUCCCCACUAUUGUAACCAAAGUAUUCCUGUCCCAAGAAACUCAUUCCUCAACUUCUACCCUCAACUCAUUUCUACUCACGUACAUACUCUUGUGAAGUAACAGAUUUUUCGGCUCCAAUUGGGAAUUCAGAAAGAAAUUUUGGAUCAAGGAGACACAUGGGCCAAUUAGAAUGCAGCAAGGAGUCUCCCAAUGAUGAGGAUACAGCAACAAUGUAACAUUAGAACCUUCUAAGAAGAGGUAGAAUUGUACCUCAAGCAGCAUUCAAAUUUGGAAACUAUACAGUUGAAGGUUUGGAAGCAGCAAGAAAAUUAGAAAGUGAGAGGGAAGAAUAUCAUCAUCCAAAUAGUAAAAUCAGAAUGUGUUUACUGUGUAUGGUGUUCACUUUUCUGUAAAAGAAAAAAGGCAUGAGUGUUUGUAUGUGAGUGAGAGCAUCUAGCAAAAGCCUUAAGAGAGUCUGAGUGACUUGUAAUCUUGACAAUUUGUAUUCUGAAUUCGUUUAGUGAAAAUCCCACCAUUUUUUAUGGUGGGGACUAGAUGUAGAUUCUAUUUCGGAAUAGAACCAGGAUAUAUC